AUUGAACGCUGGCGGCAUGCCUUACACAUGCAAGUCGAACGGCAGCACGGGUGCUUGCACCUGGUGGCGAGUGGCGAACGGGUGAGUAAUACAUCGGAACGUACCUUAUCGUGGGGGAUAACGCAGCGAAAGCUGUGCUAAUACCGCAUACGCCCUGAGGGGGAAAGCGGGGGAUCGAAAGACCUCGCGCGAUUAGAGCGGCCGAUGCCUGAUUAGCUUGGUGGUGGGGUAAAAGCCCACCAAGGCGACGAUCAGUAGCUGGUCUGAGAGGACGAGCGGCCACACUGGGACUGAGCCACGGCGCAGACUCCUACGGGAGGCAGCAGUGGGGAAUUUUGGACAGUGGGGGCAACCCUGAUCCAGCAAUGCCGCGUGAGUGAAGAAGGCCUUCGGGUUGUAAAGCUCUUUUGUCAGGGAAGAAACACCGGCUCUAACACAGUCCGGGAAUGACGGUACCUGAAGAAUAAGCACCGGCUAACUACGUGCCAGCCGCCGCAGUAA
rnacentral:rRNA from 1 species